rnacentral:rRNA from 1 species
GACGAACGCUGGCGGCGCUCCUAACACAUGCAAGUCGAACGGAGUUAUUUCAGCAGAAGCUUUCGGGUGGACGCAGGGAUAACUUAGUGGCGAACGGGUGAGUAACACGUGAGGAACCUGCCCUGGAGUGGGGGAUAACAGUUGGAAACGACUGCUAAUACCGCAUAAGCCCACAGCACCGCAUGGUGCAGCGGGAAAAGGAGCAAUUCGCUUCAGGAUGGCCUCGCGUCCAAUUAGGUAGAUGGUGAGGUAACGGCCCACCAUGCCGACGAUUGGUAGCCGGACUGAGAGGUUGGCCGGCCACAUUGGGACUGAGACACGGCCCAGACUCCUACGGGAGGCAGCAGUGGGGAAUAUUGGGCAAUGGGCGCAAGCCUGACCCAGCAACGCCGCGUGAAGGAAGAAGGCUUUCGGGUUGUAAACUUCUUUUCUUAGGGACGAAGCAAGUGACGGUACCUAAGGAAUAAGCCACGGCUAACUACGUGCCAGCAGCCGCGGUAAUACGUAGGUGGCAAGCGUUAUCCGGAUUUACUGGGUGUAAAGGGCGUGUAGGCGGGAUUGCAAGUCAGAUGUGAAAACCACGGGCUCAACCUGUGGCCUGCAUUUGAAACUGUAGUUCUUGAGUACUGGAGAGGCAGACGGAAUUCCUAGUGUAGCGGUGAAAUGCGUAGAUAUUAGGAGGAACACCAGUGGCGAAGGCGGUCUGCUGGACAGCAACUGACGCUGAGGCGCGAAAGCGUGGGGAGCAAACAGG